rnacentral:rRNA from 1 species
ACCUGCGGAAGGAUCAUUACCGAGUGAGGGCCCUCUGGGUCCAACCUCCCACCCGUGUUUAUUUUACCUUGUUGCUUCGGCGGGCCCGCCUUAACUGGCCGCCGGGGGGCUUACGCCCCCGGGCCCGCGCCCGCCGAAGACACCCUCGAACUCUGUCUGAAGAUUGUAGUCUGAGUGAAAAUAUAAAUUAUUUAAAACUUUCAACAACGGAUCUCUUGGUUCCGGCAUCGAUGAAGAACGCAGCGAAAUGCGAUACGUAAUGUGAAUUGCAAAUUCAGUGAAUCAUCGAGUCUUUGAACGCACAUUGCGCCCCCUGGUAUUCCGGGGGGCAUGCCUGUCCGAGCGUCAUUUCUGCCCUCAAGCACGGCUUGUGUGUUGGGCCCCGUCCUCCGAUCCCGGGGGACGGGCCCGAAAGGCAGCGGCGGCACCGCGUCCGGUCCUCGAGCGUAUGGGGCUUUGUCACCCGCUCUGUAGGCCCGGCCGGCGCUUGCCGAUCAACCCAAAUUUUUAUCCAGGUUGACCUCGGAUCAGGUAGGGAUACCCGCUGAACUUAAGCAUAUCAAUAAAACGGAGGA